UAACACUAAACAAUCCCACGUUUCCCUCCCCUCCUCGUUUCCGGCCUGGGUUCGUACCUACCUCCCAGAGCGAGAAUCUGGGCCUUCCGGCAGUGACCCCCCUUAGUAACGGUGCCUGUUUCCGCCUCUCCUGCCGGAGCCGGUCCAGGUCCUACUCCCGGCAGCGACAGUCGAUAAACUUGUUUCUUGUUGAAGUCGCACUUGGAUGUGGGGUGGAAAUUUUUAAUGUGGGACACGGGUAUAAUAUGAUGCACUUGGUCCUGCAGGAAGCGUACGCAGGCGAACAUGUUUGUUGAAGGGCGCCGCCAAUAACAGUAUCAGCAGCAACUGCUGCUGCUGCCGCCGCCGCCACCUUUUCCUUCUCCUUCCCCUCAGCAGACUGGCUCCCAGUAGAGCGGAGAGGAACACAAUCCGGAUCGCAGGCUCCACCGCGAACCACCACCCCCUCCAGCAGCUGGCUGCGCCUGACGUCACCGACAGAGGCGCACCGGCGCCAGCAGCAGGAGGUAGACUCGGACUGUACCCCAGGGCAAACGUGCUCUCACUGAUUCCAGGCUCUGCGUUGUGUACAGCCGACCCGGUGGUGAAGCGUAUAAGAAUUUUGAUGGCAUUGAGCGAACAGUAACGUAUUUGGAAGUUACGAUGGUACGAAUUGAGGAAACUUAGGUCCAGGCCUGAAACGUCAGCCUUCCUGCUCCUCUGAUGCUGCUUGGCCUGCUGUGUUCUUUCAGCUCUACACCUUGUUAUCUCAGAUUCUCCAGCAGCUGCAGUUCCUACUAUCUCAAAACAGCUUUUAGGUGGUUAUGUUCCAAAGUGUCUACUGCCUUUUUGAGCAGUUAAAGUCACAGGUUUGGAUAAUGUUAUUGAAAUCUGGAUGAUUACUGCAGGGCACCUAUAAGACUCUACUUCGACAACAAAACAGUGCAUAUGACAGAGUAAAUUUUGACGUUUAAUGUUUGACACUUUCAGGAUAUUAUUCUGGGAGGAAUUCCAGAGUGGGUCCCAGCCAGGUCCACUCAGUUUCUUGUUUUUUUCCUUUUGUUUGGAAAACUAUAAAGUGAGUGAAUUAUGUUGUAUGCACUUGAUUUUUGUAUGUUAUUAUAAAUUGUUAUGCACAUAAACAAUGCAGGAGCUUGCUACACCAAAUGCCAAUUAAAAUUUAUUAGGUGCCAAAAAUACCACAAAUGGUGCUUCUCAUGAGCAGGAAGUGAACAUGCUUUAUCCUUUAAAACAGUGAUCCUCUGUCAGUCCUGUGUGCACAUCAAUCGUGCUUCAGUGCCUUGCAGCUUAAACUGCAGACUCUUACCAGGUAGUUUGUUGAAUCGUGUUUUUCAGUUUGAUCCAGAUGCAGAGUACGGUUAACUUUUUUAUGGGGCAAUGCAACAAUUGAAUCAUAAAUAUGCUCAGAAGUGAUGUGUGAAGCUAGUAUAUUACUGCACUAGGAAUAUAGGAAGCUAUUUGGCCUUCUCAAGUCCGUGCAAACUCUUGGCAAGGGCAGCUUAACUUACCUCCUGGUAACCAUGUCGGAUAAAGAGCCCUUCAUAAGGAAGAAUAACGCAAAGCAUUUUACAAAGAUAAUAAGAUUCCAAGCCCAAAAUUAUAAUGGUCAAUAAGGCAGAUAACAAACAAAUGAUCAACAAGGUACAUUUUUAAUGAAUCUGUGGGAUGUCAGAUGCAGAGUCAUCAAACUAGUUUUGUGGAAAUUUUCCCAAAUUCGAAGCUUAAUGUUGUUACAAAACUUCCACUAAAAAAGUGCUAUCCUCAGACAAAUUUUCUACCGUAGCUAGGUUUUUUUUACAUCAAUCUGAAGUAAGGAUUGUGAUAUGGAAAAUUCAGCCAAAAACAAAAAGAAUAUUGGAUCUUUUCAUUGUUUACAAUGAUAUUAUGACACCAACUUGUAGAGGUGGUAGCAUUGUGGUUUUUUUUUUCCACUUAUGGGAUGUAGAUAUCACUGGCUAGCCAGCAUUUGUUGCCCUGGAGAAGGAGGGGGUGAGCUGCUGCCUUGAACUGCUGUGGGCUGACCCACAAGGCCACUGGACAAGAAACCAAGAGACUUAGACUAAUGUUCUGGGGAUAAGGGUUUGAAUUUCAUCAUAGCAGAUAGAAUGUAGAACAUUACAAGUCAGGAACAGCUCUUUUGGCCCACCAUGUCUACAGCAACUAUUUUGCUAUUCUAAACUAAUCUCAUUUGGCUGUAUAUGGUUCAUACCCCUCUACUCCUACCUGUUUGUGUGUCUGUCUAAAUGCCUGUUAAACUUGGCUGAUGUAUCUGGCUCUACAACCUCCCCUCACUGUGCAUUCCAGGCACCUACAUCCUCUGUUUUAAAAAAAAAAGCAUUCUUGACAGACGUCCCUAAAACAUUUCCUCUCUAACUUUAAAUUUAUAACCCUUCAUAUUUAACAUUUCCACCCUGGGAAAGAAACUGAGUAUCUGCCCUAUCCAUACCUUUCAUAAUUUUUGGAUAUGAAUUACAUCAGUAUCCAAGGAGUUUCGAAUGGUGCUGAACAUUGGGCAAUCAUCAGUGAACAUCCCCACUUCUGACUUGAAAGUAGCUGAAGAUAGUUGGGCCUAGGAUGCUAUCCUGAGAAACUCCUACAGAGCUCCUCCCUGGAGCUGAGAUGACUAAUUUCCAACAACCAUGAACGUCUUUCUACGUAUCAGUUUUGACUCCAACCACCAGUGAUUUUUGACUCUGAUACCCAGUGAUUCCAGUUUUGCUAGGGCUGCUUGAUGGUACAGUCAGCUGAAUGCAGCCUUGAUGUAAAGGGCUGUCAUUCUCACCUCUAGAAUUCAGCACCUUUGUCCAUGUUUGAACCAAGGCUGUACCCGCAUUCACCACUUCCUCUGGAAAGCCAAAGGACCUAUUCUGUGUUGUAAUGUUCUAUGUUUUACACACAAACCACACUGUGUAGAAAAAAUUGUCCCUUGUGUCUUUUUAAAAUGUUUCUCCUGUCACCUCAAAAAUAUGUCCUCUAGCCUUGAAAUCCCCCACUCUAGGGAAAAGAUACUUGCCAUUCACCUUACCUAUACCCCUCACGAUUUUAUAAACAUCUGUAUGGUCACCCCUCAACCUCCUACACUACAGUGAAAGAAGUCCUAGCGUACCAACCUCUCCUUAUAAUCCAUUCCCAGCAACAUCCUGGUAAAUAUCUUCUGAAUCCUGUCCAGUUUAAUAAUAAUCUUCCUAUAACUGAGCGAUCAGAAUUGGAGACAGUAUUCCAGAAGAGGCCGCACCAAUGUCCUGUAUGACCUCAAUGUAACAUCCCAAGUCCUAUACUGAAAAGACUGAGCGAUGAAGGUAAGUGCACUAAAUGCUGUCUUAACCACACUAUCUAUAUAUGUGAUACAAACUUCAAAGAAUUAACAAAUCACAGGUGUCCCAACUGUGAAUGAAUCUCUUCCCAUGCUUGGCACAAGUUAAUGGUUUCUCCUGGUGUGAACUCACUGAUGUUUAGUUGAGAUGAUAGCAUGAACCCAUUCACACACCAGCCAGCUAUUUCCACCUCGGGAACAUCACCCUAUCCACCCGAGACUCAGAUCCUCUGCUGCUGAAACUGACAUCCAUUCCUUUGUUAGCUGAGUAUCUAAAACUCUGCUAUCCACAUGCUCAAUUGUACCAAGAUAAAUACCAUCACUCCUGUGCUCCCUGACCUACAAAGAUUACAAUCUAUAAACAAAAACAUUUUAAAAUUCUUACCAUUGACUUAAUUCCUGGCUGUGAUCAUCCUGACCUCCCCACACCGUACAACCUUCAAGACUUGGACAACUCAUUUAGUUUAAGACUCCAAUAAUAUGUUUAUGCACUGCUUCACCAUUGGUGGCUCAACAGUCUGGAAUUCCCACCCUGAACGUCUCAGGUUUGCUUUCCUCCGUUAAGAUAUUCCUGUAAACCCACCUAUUUGGCAAUAGCCUCUCUGAUCAAGGGUCUAGGCCCGAAACGUCAGUUUUUGUGCUCCUGAGAUGCUGCUUGGCCUGCUGUGUUCAUCCAGCUUCACACUUUGUUAUCUUGGAUUCUCCAGUAUCUGCAGUUCCCAUUAUCUCUGAUAUUUGGCAAUGCUUUCGGUCACCUGACCUACUAUCUCCCUCUGUGGCCUUAGGGUGCAUAGUCCUCUAUAAUAUUUGUGUACUUAGAAACGUGAUGAAAUUUAAAUUAUUGAUUUGUACAUAUUAUCAACUAAAAUUAUUAAAACGCUUAAGUGAA